UGGGAACGUGCCCAAAGGUACGGAACAACUCCGGGAAACUGGAGCUAAUACCGUAUGUGCCCGAAAGGGGAAAGAUUCAUCGCCUUUGGAUCGGUCCGCGUCUGAUUAGCUAGUUGCGGGGUAAUGGCCCACCAAGGCGACGAUCAGUAGCUGGUCUGAGAGGAUGACCAGCCACACUGGGACUGAGACACGGCCCAGACUCCUACGGGAGGCAG
rnacentral:rRNA from 1 species